ACGCGUUCCCAUUAAGGAAAGGCCUAUUGAGAGACACUGAAAAGUUUUACUUGAUUAGUCUCAAUUUCCAGCCACCAUUAGCUGCUUUAAACAGGCCCGAGGUGACUACAAAUGAGCGUCCUCGCUUGGGCAAUAUUUACAACUUAGUUUCAAAACACAAUUAAAAAGAACUUGCACGGGAAAUGACAACAGAAAGGCCGUGCAACAGUGCAAACUGGGGUGUCUGACCGGGAAAUGCUCCACUGCAUGACUGAGGUGACCAGGCUCCGUAGCCGCGUGCACUGGUUACGGGCUACGCUCCUCUGGCUUCCUCCGGAGUCCUGUCUGGUCAGAGCUCCUGCAGACAGUGCAAUUUCUCAUUAUAUGGACCUUACAUGUCACAUCUGCAACAAGAUGGAGCUUACAAAGAGGCUCGUUUUUAAUGGAACUUUACCUGCUACAUUAAAGAUGUUCUUGUAUUGAUACAAACAGUAGCCGCUAUUAAAUAGUGCAGUUAUUUAUUUACAACUAACAAUGGCAUAGACUUAAGUUCCAGGGGGAAAAAAGCAAUUAGUGACUAAUCGUCAUUUUGUGUGUGUGUUUGUUUGUGCAUUUGAGACUGUACUAUCAGAGCUUUUUGGCUAUGCUAUAAAAUCAGGGUCUUAAGGGGAGUGAAACUUUGCACAUUACAUGGGCCUGUAGUAGCAGGGUAAUUGCUUAUCUUUCAGAAACUGAGAGGCAUUAAAGAAUUCAAACACUGGGGGUGUAAAUUAAAGAAAUUGCCAUGA